rnacentral:lncRNA from 1 species
CAAAGAGAAAAGUGAAUAAUAUAUACUAAGCAUUAUCAAACACUUGCAAACCAUGAAACCCAUUCUCAUUGCUUUCUUACUCUUUGUUUCUCUUUUUGUCCUUUCCACUUCAACUCUCGCUCGCGAACUGUAUGGUAAUAAUACUCAAUUCUCAUAUGCAACUUCAUAAUAAUAUUGUUUUCCCUCAAAACAUAUAUGCAUGCAAGGCUUGUUACACACCACCGUAUAUUAAUUACGUUUGUUUGAAUCGAAAUAAAGAACAAAAAUUUGUUGUGUUUCGUUAAUGAUGUGAAUACAAUAUUAUGCAGAUGUGUCGUCCAGUGUGCCACGAUCAUCACCACCAUCACCCCCGGCACCAUGCUCAAUAUAUUCACGUAAUUGUUGACCAAUAUCUGAUUUGGAUAUCUAAAUAUCCAAUGACACUUGCUGUGUGGAGCUACCUUCUCUGUGUUUUUCUUUAGAAUUUCGAGUGCUUUGUCUGAAUGUUGUGUUUUUCAAAAUUGCUGUAAAAUAAAGAUUUGGCCUCCAGACCAAUCCUAUAAAUAAGAAUAUGGUUGUGUGUCCUCUUGAUAUUUAGAUUUGUUGAAAUGUAAUUAAAAAGUUACGACAAAAGUGGACAAUUUAUCUUCUGCAAUGAGAUUUUUA